rnacentral:rRNA from 1 species
UACAGGGGGCGCGAGCGUUGCUCGGAAUCACUGGGCGUAAAGCGUACGCAGGCGGACCGUUAAGUCGGAUGUGAAAUCCCAGGGCUCAACCCUGGAAGUGCAUUCGAUACUGGCGGUCUCGAGUACGGGAGAGGAGAGCGGAAUUCCUGGAGUAGAGGUGAAAUUCGUAGAUAUCAGGAGGAACACCGGUGGCGAAAGCGGCUCUCUGGCCCGAUACUGACGCUCAUGUACGAAAGCGUGGGGAGCAAACAGG